AAUCAUUGUCAACACUUAAGAAACUUGUAAAGGAGAAAAUUAAAACUUCAUAAUACUGAACAACUAUGGAAAUAAUCAGCGUGAUUAUAUUUUGUGUGAUUGUGUACGUACUGUGGACUUGUUGUGGAAGCAGCAGUAAAAAGACAUCCUCCUCUGCUUCAAGGUCAAGGUCAUCUAAAGAACAAACUGGCAGCACAAGUUCCCAAAGUAACUUGUACCCUAACCUUAGCCAGCUUCAAAACAAUAGUAUAUUUAAUAUGUUUGGUGGUAGUAGUUACGACACUAUCCUGGACAAGUUCAGUACCAUGGAGGAGGUCCAGACCGCUAUCAGGAAGGCCGGACUAGAAUCAUGCAAUCUCAUAUUUGGUGUUGAUUACACUGCCAGUAAUUUGCAGCAAGGCAUACAAUCUUUUGGCGGCCGUUCUUUGCAUGACACCCGCUCAGGAACACCAAAUCCCUAUCAAAGAGUACGCCAACUAUGCAUGUACUUGUAUAGUGUAUGC